rnacentral:rRNA from 1 species
UACGGAGGGUGCGAGCGUUGUCCGGAAUCACUGGGCGUAAAGGGCGCGUAGGUGGCCGAGCAAGGUCGCGGUGAAAGCCCGGGGCUCAACCCCGGGUCGGCCGUGGCAACUACUCGGCUCGAGCACUGUAGGGGCGGGUGGAAUUCCGGGUGUAGCAGUGAAAUGCGUAGAGAUCAUGAGGAAGACCAGUGGCGAAGGCGGGUCUCUGGACAGUUCCUGACACUGAGACACGAAGGCCAGGGGAGCAAACGGG